rnacentral:rRNA from 1 species
CUCAAAGAAGCAAGGAGCAGGUGGUUAAAGCCUUCUGAAGUUUACUAUAUCUUGUUGAAUCAUGAGCAGCUUCAUAUCACCCAUGAGCCACCAAAUAAGCCACCCAGUGGCUCACUAUUCCUUUAUAAUCGCCGUGUGAAUCGGUUUUUCCGGAAAGAUGGUUAUGCAUGGCGAAGGAAGAAAGAUGGAAGAACUGUCGGGGAGGCUCACGAGCGAUUAAAGGUUGGAAACGUUGAUGCUCUGAGUUGCUACUAUGCUCAUGGAGAGCAAAAUCCGUAUUUUCAGAGACGAUGCUUA